rnacentral:lncRNA from 1 species
GUCUUUCCCAUGCUAUUCUCGUGGUGGUGAAUAAGUCUCACAAGAUCUGACGGGUUUAUCAGGGGUUUCCGCUUUUGCUUCUUCCUCAUUUUUCUCUUGCCCCUUGCCACGCAAGAAGUGCCUUUUGCCUCCCACCAUAAUUCUGAGGCCUCCCCAACCAUGUGGAACUAUGGAGUCUCACUUUGUCACCAAGCUGGAGUGUGGUGGCAUGAUCUUGGCUCACUGCAACCUCCCAGGUUCAAGCUAUUCUCCUGCCUCAGCCUCCCGAGUAGCUGGGACUACAGGCGCACGCCACCACACCCAGCUAAUUUUUGUAUUUUUAGUAGAGACAGGGUUUCACCAUGUUCGCCAGGGUGGUCUCUAUUUCUUGACCUCGUGAUUUGCCCACCUUGGCCUUCCAAAGUGCUGGGAUUACAGGCAUGAGUCACUGUGCCCGGCCUAAUUUUGAUUUUUUAAAACAUUUAAUUAAAAUGUUAUUUAAUUACUGAGUUUUUGGUAUCCCUGUCAUUUUUGUGCCCUGGGAAAGAAAGUACCUCCCCACCUUACCCAGCCCUGGCCCUGCUGGAGAGGCAGUAGGGGUUAGGAAGGCGCUGUGGGACGUGGGAUUAGGUAAGCAUGGCAUUUUUCUGAGUGUUAUAUGAGGUGUUUUGAAGAGAAAGUCUUAAAGGCACCAAGGUGGGUGUACUAGUCUGCUCAAGCUGCCAUCACAAAAUCCCUAAGGCUGGAUGGCCCAAACAAUGAACACUUAUUUUCUCAUAGCUCUGGAGGCUGGAAAUCCAAGGUCAAGGUGCCUGCAGGGUAGGUUUCUGGUGAGGCCUCUCUCCCUGGCUCGCAGAUGUCCACCUUCUCACUGGAUGCUCACAUGAACUCUUUUUUUGUGUUCACUUGGAGAGAGAGUCAUGGUGCCAGUUCUUUUUCUUUUCUGAGACAGAGCCUCACUCUGUCACCUAGGCUGGAGUGCAGUGGUGUGAUCAUGGCUCACUGCAGCC